CGGUGGGAGCGCUCCGACUCCGGCCGUGGCCGCGGCGCCGCCCGGCGGGUCCGGCUCCGGUAGGUGAGGGAAGCUGGCGAGAUGGGGCCGAAAGCACCACCCUUGUGACUGGACACCGCCGGAGGCAUCCCCGGAUGGUGCUGAGGCCCACGAAGGCUGCUCUGUUUUUUUUCUGUUUUUUUUUUUUGUUGUUGUUGUUUGUUUGUUUGUUUGUUUUCCCGUUUUGAGCGUUUUUUAACGUUUUUGUUUAUUGGCUUUGUUCAGUCUGAUAAACUUUACAGCUCUUCCUUCUUGCUUCCCUGAUUUUUGUAUUAUCCAAGCGAUUUUUUAGCUUAACGAAGUUGGAUACACCACUUAUUUCCCUCCUGUCCUCGUAGGGGAGUAUUCCAGGUGAUGUCGCACCAGCACAGAGCGGAGGGCGGGAUCACUUCUCUCAGCCGGCUGGCCACUGUUUUCGACACAGCCGAGGAUCCGGUUGCCUUUCUGGGCUGGACAAACACGAACCCACCCAAGUGGCAGAAGGGAAGCAUUGCAUCAAGGCAUUCGCUGGACUGACUUUGCCUUCAACAGAGCGUGAAGCUCCUGGGAUCAGGAUACCGAGGAGUAUUGCUCCCGGCUUUGUAUGGAGAAGCAGACAGAAGUCAGCAGAUGCACUGCCUUUCUGCGUAUUCCUGGAAGAGCUAUGCAUCCUGAAGAAGAAGGUUAAGCAGCACUUGGUUUACAUCAGUGGUCCUUUAAUGAUCACUUAGCUAUUUCCUGCAGUGAGAUCUUCCUUCAGGACAAAGCUCUGCUCUGGCAUGUUGUGAUGCCGCCUCCGGUUCUGCUAGCUUUCACAGCUCAGAGUGUGCACCGCUGCUGAAGGAGCUGUGGAGCAGUGACAGCCCUUCCCACCAAUUCAUGCAUCAGCCUGGAAACAGCCUUGAGAGCCACCAGCAGACAAUUAGAUUCAUAGCACGUUGAAGGAAACAGCAACAGCUUUUUUUUUCAGUUAGAUGGAGAAAUGAAAACUAAAGUUUGAGAUGUUUUUGCAGCCAAAGUUGGUUAUAGGAAAACCAAUAAAUGUGUUCCUACAUUAAAGAGAAAAAGAGCAGAAUUUGAAAAGUUUCCAAGUCUACAUUCUUCUUGUUGGUUUUCCACAACAUUUUAACUAUGAUAAAGAAAUCAAUAUGCUUUCAGUGCUUCAGUGUGAUUUUUUGUUUGACAUCUCCUAUAGCCAUUAACAGAAUACGUGAUACUGCAGUACUCCCAGCCUGAGCACAUUGUGGUGCUGCACAGGAAAGGAUGAGUGUUGCCUUUUCUUAGUCCUCCUCAGGGCUACUGUGCAACAGUUCAUCAAUGAAGAAGGAAAAGAGCAAAUAAUCCAAAAUGAUUUCUGUUCUUUUUUGGUUUCAAACUACAGUAUGCUUGGCUGCCUCACACUACACUCUCUUUCAAUAUUUAGGUAAAUGCAUUAGGACAAAAUUUCUCCUUGCACUCAGUAAACUGAUCUGUUGACACUGUCCUCUUACAGAUCCCUGAGUUUUCAUAUGUAUCAACUGAUUAGAAAAACACGAGUUCAGAGAGAAUAUCAUUUCUGUGAUCCAGUACUAUUUCAGGCAGACCCAAACCCCCCAGUCAAUGGAAAGCUUUUACUGUUGAACUUUGUUGCUUAUAUGGCUGAACCAGGCUCAGUAAAUAAAUGUUGGAAAGGUUGAAGAUGAAAUUCAAAAAGAAAAUCAAAGUUUGAUGAUAAAAGUGGGAACUUUUUUGUAAUUACUGUUGUGAUUCUGCAUUUAUUGAGGUCCAUUAGGAAAGCUUAUGAUGGCUCUUGAGUAUAGAUUGCUAUUUCUGACUUGCUUCACAUUUAAAAUUAUAAUACUCUCCCUUUUAACCUUUCUCUCCCUCUGAAGCUUGAGUUCUGCUUUCAAAGGCAAGCGGUGGGUGCUCACAUAGACCAAAGUGAUUUGCUUUUAAGGUUAUUCUUGUUUUGAAAAAUAAUUUCCAGCAGCCCUUCUGUUACUAUUAGCGAUAGAAAGACAAGUGAUCUAUAUCACAUAGAAAACUAAAAUGUGAUUUAUACUUGCAUUACUGCUUUUCUGUUCUGUUUUAUUCAAAAGGCAGAGCAAUAUAUAGAAUAUCUAGCAACAUUGAUUGUUGGAGACAGAAGAAGUCAAUAUUUUUUUAAAGGUGAAUUACUUGGAGAAUAGGUUACAUUUAUAUAGCAUGAACCUGGGAGAAAGGAGUAGCUAUUAGUGAGAGACCAUGGAUAAAGCCAUGGAGAAGGCAAAACCACAAGUCAUGCCCAUCCACAUCAAAUCAUUCUAUUUCAGGAUCUCGUGUUUGGCAUGAGAUCCCUAUUAUCUGUGAUCAUCUUCACAAGUUUCUAUGUAUAAUAUAGUAUUCAACCAGAUAAAAGACCUCAGUAAUCAGUGGUGCUAGAGGUAAGAUAUAAAGACUUCUUUUUUCAUUGUCUGAAACUCUAAUUUGGGAAAAGAAUAAAACCUUUCCUAUUUCAUCUAUUAUACAUGAUUUUAAUUACAGAUGUUAAGAAACAUAAAGGGGCAAUGAAGGUCUUAUGAAUGCUUGUUAAACCUUUGCAGACUUUUCAAAUGCUAGGUGGCAUCAGCUUUCAACAUCACUGAUUUUCUGCAAUAGUCACCACAGUGAAAUUCUUUUGAUCAUUGCAUUUCAGAAAAUUCUUAGAUGUUUUAUAUUUGUUUUGCAACAUGAUUUAUACAAAAUAUUUUUUUCCUAUUCUUUCUGAUCUUUUUAGUUUUGUAGUAUAGAAAAAUAGCCAUGGUGCUCCUCUUCUUUUUCAUUUCCAAGUUUGAAUAUUUCAUCUGAUUUGGAUUGGCACAUUGACACAAACUGGUGUUCAGGGCUUAAAGUCACUCCGCAUUUGUGAUACAGAUAAUCUUCAGGAACAUUGCUCCAGUUAUUGCUUGCACUAGUUUAUUAUUUAAUCAAAAUCUAAAGUUCAAAGGAAAUUAAAAAUCAUGAACAGUAUGGGCUUCUAAGAACUGAAUUAAGAAUGAAUUUGCUACGUGAGAAGCCAUAGCAAAUGUUUCAGAGCUGAUAUGGGAAACCCAACGGAAGACUGAAAACUCCAUUAUUCCCAGUGCUUGGAAACUCCAAGUAAUGGCAGUAGUUCAUAGGUUCAAAAGGUUUUGGAAGCACUGUCAUGCUUAGGAUGCCCCUGAGUGCCUAAUAUAUCUUCCCAACACCAGCCCAGAUGGAGACGGUGGUGAUCACCUCUUGCAUUUCCCCAUGAGGCAAAGAAGAGAUGGCAUGUUGUUAUCAAGAGUUUGGUAUCAUUUUCUACAUUUGAUUACCAUUUUUUCCUUGUCUCACGUUGGCAGAAGCAAUGAAUGACAUCUCAGAAGUUGGCUUUUAACAGCCAGUACAGCUCUAAAGCAAAACGAAGACAAUGAAGGAAGGAGGGACAAGAGUCAAGAAGGCUUUCAGAAAAAAAGGAAAAAGGAAAGAAAAAAGAAAAAAAGUCAUCAGUGAGGAAGUAGUAAUUCUCUGGAGAGAAUAUAAGAAAAGAAGGACAGCCUAAAGAACAAAAUGAUGUGAGAGCCUCCAGGGGAGGUGUAGACGCAGCUUCACGCCUUUUCAGCGGAGAGGAGAAAAUCUGUUGCUAGACUUUUGUUAUCUUUCAGUGUUGUAGUCUCCUUCACCUCACACCAUGUGUGGCCCUUGGGCUUAUUGUCUAGUUUGAAAUGCCAGAAUGUAUUUGCUUGUAAACACUUAAAGUCUUGUGUUGGCUCUGUGUGCUGAGGAUUUUCUCCCUCCCUGUUCCUUGUGAAAUUACUGAACAUGCUGCCUAAACAUACAUUCACUCUGUGACUAAUGAAGUGCACUCCAAACCCUCAUAUGUAUGCUGCUCUUCAUUCCUAUUGCUACGCCUGGGUCACUGUUUUGCCCAUAUGAGAUAUUUGUUUUUCUGUAGUGGGCUGUCCUUUCACUAAUGAAGUAGACUUAUGCUGUCUUCUCACUCUAUUUUUUUUUUUUUUUUUUGAGUUAGACCCUGGUUUGUUUUCUGUCUGUUUUUCUGUUCAGUUUAGAGUUUCUCAACUGUAAUUUCACCUGCAGAACUCAUUUACAUGUUCUUUACCUUUCCUGCCAGCUUACUAAUGAAGUUAUUACAACAAGAAACAAGUUUAUACCUUGCAGUAGACCAACUGCACACCUCCCAACAACACAGUGCAACCCACUGCCAUUUCUCAUCAGCCUGACUUUGUGAUCCUUCAACCUGUUUUCAAUUUACAUGACAGUGCUUAUGUCCAAAGCAAUUUGAAUUCAUUUUGGGAGAUUUAGUGAGACUGUAUUAAAUCCUUUAUUAAAAUCAUGCUGUGUAUCCUUCAUCCAGGAUUUCUGCAGUUCUAUCAAAAAAGCAAUCACGUUUCCUUGGCACGACAUGUUCCUUAUGAACCCAUGCUGCUUAUUGUUUAUAGUUCCAUUAUCCUUUGAAUGUUUAGUGAAGUGUUUUGUUGUUUUUUUCUCUCCUUAUUUUCUUUUUCCCCUCAGCACUUGUUCUGUUCUUUCUCAAAAUAAAGUAUGCUUGGAAUUAGACUCCUUGUUUAGCGAACUACUCUACUUUACUUUGUUGAUGUUUGAGGCUAUACUUACUAUGCUAUGUAACUUUUCAGAAAUAAUUUUUAAGGGCUUUGUGUUUUCAUGUGCACUCAGGGAUGUCUUUAACUUGGGCUGUUUGGAUGGAUGCUGCUGUUUUCUUUAUUUCUGCACUAUGAAUAGCAAAUUUCUGCUGUUGACU